GACGAACGCUGGCGGCGUGCUUAACACAUGCAAGUCGAACGAAGAGCGAUGGAAGCUUGCUUCUAUCAAUCUUAGUGGCGAACGGGUGAGUAACGCGUAAUCAACCUGCCCUUCAGAGGGGGACAACAGUUGGAAACGACUGCUAAUACCGCAUACGAUCUAACCUCGGCAUCCAGGAUGGAUGAAAGGUGGCCUCUAUUUAUAAGCUAUCACUCAAGUAGGGGAUUGCGUCUGAUUAGCUAGGUGGAGGGGUAACGGCCCACCAAGGCGAUGAUCAGUAGGCGGUCUGGGAGGAUGAACGGCCACAUUGGGAAUGGGACACGGCCCAGAAUUCUACGGGAGGCAGCAGGGGGGAAUCUUCCGAAAUGGACGAAAGUCUGACGGAGCAACGCCGGGGGAGUGAUGACGGCCUUCGGGUUGGAAAGCUCUGUUAAUCGGGACGAAAGGGCUUCUUGCGAAUAGGUAGAAGGAUUGACGGUACCGGAAGAGAAAGCCACGGCUAACUACGUG
rnacentral:rRNA from 1 species